rnacentral:pre_miRNA from 1 species
AUCACCUGGGGGUCUUGUUAAAUAAUGCAGAUUCUGGUUCAGAAGGUCUGGGCUGGGGCCAGAGAUUCUGCAUUUCUAACAAGCUCCCAGGUAAUGCCGA